GGGGGGGGGGUUGGUUGGGGAUGUCUACUCUUGGUUAGGGCCUAGCAAGUCUUAAAAUAGUGUUGUUGCCCUUGUGUUUAAAAACACAUGUAUCUCCUAAUGAGGUUAGUUAUAUUGAGGUUGUGAAAUGAUUUGCAUUCUAGAAUGACAUUAGCUUAAAGCAAAGCAAUAAACUUCGUCCUCAUAUUUACUUAUUUGAGUUGGAAGAAGAUGCUUUCCUAUAACAAGUAAAGUCAUCUGGUUAAAGGGGUGAGGAUGUGGUUGUAUUUUAAGAUUUAAUAAAGUUAUAGUUGACUUAGAAAUAAUGUUUUUAUGGCUGCUCCCUUUCUCACCUGUGUUAAUAUUAUCACACUUCUACUGAGCACAUAUAAAAGAGUAGAUAGGACAAUGCUGAAGAUCAAUAUGUUUAUCAUCCACCUCUUUAUUUAAAUUCUUUCUGAAAUUUAAGGUUUUUAGGCUGCUCUGGGGUUACUUAGGAACCUUUAAUAGAUACAAUUUAUAACUAUGUAUGAUGGCUAUGCAAAUUCCAUUUUUCAUGGCUUUAUUAUCUGUUAUGUUUUGUGUGGAUUCAUUACUUUAUGGAAGUUAAGUGCCAUAUUUUGAAAUAAAGGCAUGUUGGUUGAUUGUGCUGGGGUAUAUUGAAAUGUAAUGAAAUGAGUUUUUGUUAAUUUUCUAUUGAAUUUAUAUUUUAUUACCUUUUAUUAUGUUAAACAUAUCAAGUUCAACAAAGGCUUGUAUUUAGUCUAAUCUCGCUCUCCAUAUGAAUUUAUUUGAGUACCUUUUAGCGUUAUUGUAAUAUUGUGCACCUUUUAUCUGUUAUUUUAAACUGGUUAUUCAACAAUUAAUGCAGCAGAAGUUCUAAUACAAAAUCUAAUACAGGAGAAGCUCUAAUAAAAAAUCUAAUACAGGGCAUGUCGGAAAUCAGCAGGAAUUUUUAAGCAACUGAAGGAGUUAAGAACAUAGGUUUCUUUAAUUACUCAAGAUAAAAAAGGAUUUCUUUAGAUUUUAUGUGGCCACAAGAAGCAACAAAUGGAUGGGUACCUACAACAAAUAAAGAAAUGGAAUAAUAAAAAUCCUGCUAUUAGAUUAGAGUGGCAACAACUGAUAAGAAUAAAGGAGAGAGAAAAUAAUUUAGCACCAUACAUCUAUAAGUACAUAAUAAUUUCAAAUAAUAGUCCCAAGCAAAAAAUGUUAUGGCUCUUUCUGUAGACUCUCUAAGGAGGUGUUUAUCAUGUAAAUGUUUCAAAACUAUGGAAAAUAAAGUAUAAGAACCUUAUAAAUGCAUAUGACAUACUUAGUAGUUGGUAGUCGCAAUAACUUUCAAAAUCACAGUAUCCCAUCUCUGUACAAAUAUAUAAGACAGCUGUACACUCCAAAAUGUUGACAAAGAACUUGUUACUUUUUCCUUCCAAAGUACUUUUAAGCUGUCAUAUGAAAUCUUUUGAAGUAAUGGCACUUCUGUGCUAGUCAAUUAUCUUAUUCAUGCAUCUACAGUUUGGCUAUGACCAUAGUUAUUGAAGGCGCGCCUCAAGCACGCCUCAGGCUCCAGGCUCACCAGGCUCCAGUCCUAGCGCCUCUACAGGAGAAAGGCGGGCAACAUUCACCAGGCCCUCGCCUUAUGCGCCUAGGCGUGCUCCUUGUUCUAGGCGCAAGGCUAAAAAGGCGCGCCUUUUUUAUUUCUACAUUCGGCGAGUACUUCCAUUGACAAAAAGCACUACCACUCUAACUUAAAAUUUUUCGAUCUAGAAGUUUUCAAAAUUAAUAUCGCUAGUGACAAUUAGUCAUCAUAAUCUCAGCAAACUAUCACACUUAGGAUUACAAACCUCCCAUAUUUUCAUAUUUAACACUACCACUCGUUAUCUUUUUCAAAAAAAAAAAAUGUUGUAUCUACACCAUUUUCAAAAUCUAUGCCAAUCUAACUUGAGAACUAAAUAAUACUCCUUUAAUUCUUAAAGAUGAGGAAGAUAAUGAAUAUAUUGAUUUUGAAGAUGAGUAUUAAGAGGAUGAAGGUGUAGAAGAAAAUGAAGAAGAUUAUAAUGCUACUCUUGAUAAAGAUUGAAGAGUAGUUAUUUUAUGGUUGCUUGACUUUAAUUUUGAAACAUUAAAAGACUAUUCAAGUUU
rnacentral:misc_RNA from 1 species